ACAUUUCAGGUAUAAGCUUGUAAGUAAUUAAUUUCAGAACCAUUAUUGCUCAUAGGUUAAUUCCUGCAUGUGUGCUGAUCCCUUCGGUAAGACCGCACAAACAAGACCUGGAUUUACCACCGCAGCUUCAGUCCAAUGAAACAAACAACCUGUGAUGAUGAAAUCUAGAAAACCUCAACCAGAGACUUCCAUACGGCACAAUGAAAAUCUGUAACUAUACUUCUUGCAAAAGACGGUCAAUAUUGGUGGAGGCGCAAAACCCGGCCUGAGCUGUCCCCAGUACUAAAAUCAAUCACACACACAAGAUAAGGACAAUUCUGAUACCAUGUCGCAGGCGCUGGAGUAAAGAUGUCUGCACUUGUGAGGGAUAACAACAGUCGAUGGAUACAACGUGUUACGUUACGUUAAUCUUUUAUUUGGCAACCUCCCAUAA